UACGUAGGGUGCGAGCGUUGUCCGGAAUUACUGGGCGUAAAGAGCUCGUAGGUGGUUUGUCGCGUUGUUCGUGAAAUCUCACGGCUUAACUGUGAGCGUGCGGGCGAUACGGGCAGACUAGAGUACUGCAGGGGAGACUGGAAUUCCUGGUGUAGCGGUGGAAUGCGCAGAUAUCAGGAAGAACACCCGUGGCUAAGGCGGCUCUCUAGUACGGUACUGACGCUGAGACGCGAAAGCGUGGGGAGCGAACAGG
rnacentral:rRNA from 1 species